UCUUUUCUUUUGUUGUCUGCACCUUUUUCCUUUCUUUUCGAAAACUCUCAUUCCUCUUCUUCUUCUUCUUCUACCCGUGACACACACACACACACACACCCAUUGUUGCACCUGCUUGAGGACACAGCCACCAUCAUCAUCAUCAAACCUUAGCUCUCUCUCUCUCUCUCUCUCCCUUGUUCACGGCGCCAAGAGGGUACGAGCACCUCCGGCGAAUUUAGCUUGUUUUCCAGUUGGGUUUGGAGUGUUUUUGGCACGGGUGAAGGCACCCAAAUUUCCGGCGACUUGGAUGGGUUCCGAGGGCUUUUCCGGCCAUCACAAGCCGUUUCACGGCGAACCCAAGGGGCGAUUAUCGAUGGCGUUUCCUUCUUCGCUAGAUGACGUGGCUUUUCGACGGUGAAGUACUGUGAGUGGACCCCUUCUAAAAAUGCAUGUUUUAAUGGUAGAAUUGCAUACACAAAAAAACAUGACUUUACGAU